AACGAACGCUGGCGGCAGGCUUAACACAUACAAGUCGAGCGCCCCGCAAGGGGAGCGGCAGACGGGUGAGUAACGCGUGGGAACGUACCUUUUGGUUCGGAACAACUCCGGGAAACUGGAGCUAAUACCGGAUAAGCCCUAACGGGGAAAGAUUUAUCGCCGAAAGAUCGGCCCGCGUCUGAUUAGCUAGUUGGUGAGGUAACGGCUCACCAAGGCGACGAUCAGUAGCUGGUCUGAGAGGAUGAUCAGCCACACUGGGACUGAGACACGGCCCAGACUCCUACGGGAGGCAGCAGUGGGGAAUAUUGGACAAUGGGCGCAAGCCUGAUCCAGCCAUGCCGCGUGAGUGAUGAAGGCCUUAGGGUUGUAAAGCUCUUUUGUCCGGGAAGAUAAUGACUGUACCGGAAGAAUAAGCCCCGGCUAACUUCGUG
rnacentral:rRNA from 1 species